rnacentral:rRNA from 1 species
AGUUUGAUCCUGGCUCAGGAUGAACGCUAGCUACAGGCUUAACACAUGCAAGUCAAGGGGCAGCAUUGGAGUAGCAAUACUUCAGAUGGCGACCGGCGCACGGGUGAGUAACACGUAUCCAACCUGCCGCUUACUCGGGGAUAGCCUUUCGAAAGAAAGAUUAAUACCCGAUGGUAUAAAGAGUUCGCAUGUUCUCUUUAUUAAAGAAUUUCGGUAAGCGAUGGGGAUGCGUUCCAUUAGAUAGUUGGCGGGGUAACGGCCCACCAAGUCUACGAUGGAUAGGGGUUCUGAGAGGAAGGUCCCCCACAUUGGAACUGAGACACGGUCCAAAUCCUACGGGAGGCAGCAGUGAGGAAUAUUGGUCAAUGGACGAGAGUCUGAACCAGCCAAGUAGCGUGAAGGAUGACUGCCCUAUGGGUUGUAAACUUCUUUUAUAAGGGAAUAAAGUGAGGGACGUGUCCCUUUUUGUAUGUACCUUAUGAAUAAGGAUCGGCUAACUCCGUGCCAGCAGCCGCGGUAAUACGGAGGAUCCAAGCGUUAUCCGGAUUUAUUGGGUUUAAAGGGAGCGUAGGUUGACAUAUAAGUCAGCUGUGAAAGUUUACGGCUCAACCGUGAAAUUGCAGUUGAUACUGUAUGUCUUGAGUGUACAAGAGGUGGGCGGAAUUCGUGGUGUAGCGGUGAAAUGCUUAGAUAUCACGAAGAACUCCAAUUGCGAAGGCAGCUCACUGGGGUACAACUGACACUGAGGCUCGAAAGUGUGGGUAUCAAACAGGAUUAGAUACCCUGGUAGUCCACACAGUAAACGAUGAAUACUCGCUGUUUGCGAUAUACAGUAAGCGGCCAAGCGAAAGCAUUAAGUAUUCCACCUGGGGAGUACGCCGGCAACGGUGAAACUCAAAGGAAUUGACGGGGGCCCGCACAAGCGGAGGAACAUGUGGUUUAAUUCGAUGAUACGCGAGGAACCUUACCCGGGCUUGAAUUGCAGAGGAACAUAGUUGAAAGAUUAUGGCCGCAAGGUCUCUGUGAAGGUGCUGCAUGGUUGUCGUCAGCUCGUGCCGUGAGGUGUCGGCUUAAGUGCCAUAACGAGCGCAACCCUUAUCAUUAGUUACUAACAGGUCAUGCUGANGACUCUAGUGAGACUGNCGUCGUAAGAUGUGAGGAAGGUGGA